AUUUCAAACCCUCCCAGCAAGGACAUCGCCGUUAUCUGAAAGCGUCGGCAGUGCCCAGUACGUUUUUACAGCAAACAGAGUAUCCGUCUCGUGGAAAUUUAGAGUCUCCAGCAACAGACAGUAACGCUGAGCUGGAGGUCCAUGAAGCAGUAGAGUUUUUGGCUAAUGUUCCACAGUCAACACCAGUAAAGCAACAGGACUCUGAUCCAGGAACUACCACGAGACAGUUUGCAGAUGCUCCAUCUAAACUUCGUUUACUGCUCACAAGUCCUGAAAGUGUUAGAAACAGGAAAACACCCUCAUCAUCUGGAAUAUAUUUUGCCCAACCUGCAAUACACUCCAACCAGACUCCCCCUGUGUAUAAUCAACCAGAACAGAU